UACGGAGGGUGCAAGCGUUAUCCGGAUUUACUGGGUUUAAAGGGUGUGUAGGCGGGUCAUUAAGUCAGUGGUGAAAUCUCCGAGCUUAACUUGGAAACUGCCAUUGAUACUAUUGAUCUUGAAUUUUGUUGAGGUAGGCGGAAUAAGUCAUGUAGCGGUGAAAUGCAUAGAUAUGACUUAGAACACCAAUUGCGAAGGCAGCUUGCUAAACAAAUAUUGACGCUGAGGCACGAAAGCGUGGGGAUCAAACAGG
rnacentral:rRNA from 1 species